GGAUGCGUUCAUACCAGCACUAAAGCACCGGAUCCCAUUAGAACUCCGAAGUUAAGCGUGCUUGGGCGAGAGUAGUACUAGGAUGGGUGACCUUCUGGGGAAGUCCUCGUGUUGCAUUCC
rnacentral:rRNA from 1 species